UGCUGGAUUUUCCUCUGUAUGGCCAGAGACAGACAGAGAGAGAGGUUCUUUAGUUUAAGGACAAUGGCUUAUUAUUGAUCAGUCUAACUCUAUCCUUAUAGAGCUCCCGAAAUGACAUUCUCUGUCUUCCCCAACCGAUCCCACUUUCUCUCCUUCAACUCUGAAUCCCCUCCUACUCUCAAGAAAUCAGUUUUCGCGCGUACAAGCUCCAACGCUCAAACCCCCUCUUCCGCCGGCUCUCUCCUUGUCAAUGAUUACAAACCCUUCCCAGGGAAGCCAGAGGCCGAUGUUGUUGUUAUUGGGAGUGGUAUUGGUGGGCUUUGUUGUGCAGGACUUCUAGCUAGAUACCAGCAGGAUGUUCUUGUAUUGGAAAGUCAUGAUCGCCCUGGGGGUGCUGCUCAUUCUUUUGAGAUAAAAGGCUAUAAGUUUGAUUCUGGUCCAUCAUUGUUUUCUGGUUUUCAAUCAAGAGGUCCUCAGGCAAAUCCCCUUGCACAGGUUCUGGAUGCUCUGGGCGAAUCAAUUCCAUGUGUGAAUUAUGACUCUUGGAUGGUUUACGUACCUGAAGGUGAAUUCCUGUCACGCAUUGGCCCCACAGAAUUUUACAAGGACCUUGAGAAGUAUGCAGGUCCCGAUGCCGUGCAAGAGUGGAAAAAGCUUCUUGAUGCGAUACUUCCACUUUCUUCUGCUGCAAUGGCUCUUCCUCCUUUAUCUAUUCGAGGUGAUUUUGGUGUUCUUUCCACUGCUGCCGCUAGAUAUGCACCCUCUCUAUUGAAAUCCUUUCUGCAGAUGGGACCUCAGGGAGCUUUAGGUGCUACAAAGCUUCUUAGGCCUUUCUCAGAAAUCAUUGACUCAUUGGAGCUGAAAGACCCUUUUAUACGAAACUGGGUGGACCUUCUGGCAUUCCUUCUUGCAGGGGUGAAAUCUAAUGGUAUACUCUCAGCAGAGAUGAUUUACAUGUUUGCAGAAUGGUAUAAGCCAGGUUGCAGUCUUGAGUACCCUCUUCAUGGAACUGGGGCCCUAGUUGAUGCCCUUGUCAGAGGACUGCAAAAGUUUGGUGGACGGCUUUCUCUAAGAAGUCAUGUAGAAGAGAUUGUUGUCGAAAACAAUAGAGCCACUGGAGUCAAGCUAAGAAGCGGUCAAUUUAUACGUGCUAAAAAGGCUGUAAUCAGCAAUGCAUCCAUGUGGGACACUUCAAAUCUGUUGCCCAAGGAAGUUCUUCCAAAGUCAUAUCUGGACAGGAUCAACACAACACCUCAGUGUGAAUCAUUCAUGCAUCUCCAUUUGGGUUUUGAUGCAGAGUGUAUAAAAAAAGACUUGGGGAUUCAUCACAUCGUUGUUAAUGAUUGGAGUGGAGGAGUCGAUGCAGAUCAAAAUGUUGUCUUGAUAUCUGUUCCUAGUGUGCUUAGUCCAGAUUUAGCACCCCCUGGAAAACAUCUAUUACACGCUUACACACCAGGAACUGAGCCAUUUGAAUUGUGGGAAGGACUCGAUCGUAGAAGUGCUGAGUACAAACAACUCAAAGCUGAGCGGUCAGAGGUUAUGUGGAGGGCGGUGGAGCGUGCCCUUGGUCCAGGCUUCAGCCGCGAGAAAUGCGAGGUGAAGUUAGUUGGAACUCCAUUGACACAUAAGAGAUUUCUUCGAAGGAACAGAGGAACUUAUGGACCAGCUAUUGAAGCUGGGAAAAAUACCUUUCCUGGCCAUUCAACUCCCAUAUCCCAGCUUUAUUGUUGUGGAGAUUCUACUUUUCCUGGCAUUGGAGUCCCGGCAGUUGCUGCUAGUGGCGCCAUUGUUGCUAACUCACUAGUUUCUGUAUCUCAACAUUCCCAGCUUCUCGACGCGAUUGGGAUUUAAAUGUUUUGGUACUCAUGCAAGCACUCACACCAAUGCACGCAUGGAGAGAGGAGGAGGGGUUGGUUACUCAAGAGCACAAUUGCCCCUUGAAGGUUUUGAAUUCUAUGGAACUGUAAAUGAAUGGAGGACCCUCCCAGUUCUCCCACUCAUGACAAGAAGGAAAGAAAAAAAACUUGUGCGCUUUAGGCUCCAAAGUCCAACCAGUAAUGCACAUGAAGCAGACAAAUAAGAAAGGUAAAAAGGGCAGCCAAUAUUCAACAGGAGUGCUCAUGUCUCCAUUGACGCUAACGACAGAUCAUGAGAUAAAAGGUCUGUAAAAAUAUUAAUUAAUCCUAUUACUGUUCUUGAGUUGUAUCUUGUGGGUAUUUUAAAGUAGAAGGGAUCUCUAUUAUUUCAAGAUCAAAACAAGAACAUGUUGUCUUUCAA